UUGCUUUGGCAGCAUGUAUACUAAAUUGAAAUGAUACAGAGAAGAUUAGCAUGGCCCCUGAACAAGGAUGACAUGCAAAUUUGUGAAGCAUUCCAUAUUUUU